CCCUAUGGGGUGCCAGUCGCCGUAGCCCACCGUGGUGAACGUGAUGGCCGAAAAAUACAGGGCCGUGGCUACACGCACGUAGGGCGGGUUGAUUUCGGCCAGGCUGCACACGUCGGCUCCGCCUGCGCCCACCGGCAGAGUCGCAGGGGUGCAUUCCGGGGUUAUCAUCUGCGAAUCGGCCCGGAUUUCGUUCGGGAAACCCACCGCGUAGAUGAGCCCGAACCCCAGGAUCACCACGACCGCCAGUUCCAGCGGGUAUUUCAGCCAGAUACCGUUGCCCAGGCAG
rnacentral:rRNA from 1 species